GGUGGGUGCUGGGUGCUGGGUGCUGGGUGCGGGGUGUUGGUAGUGCCUCGACUUGAACCUGGGUCCGUUGACCAUGGAUUCUGCUCUCUCUCCUGUGGGGCCCAAGCCUGAGCCUCUGUGAACAAGGUAGAUUUAAUCCUCGUGAUCUCUACGGAGUCCCCGCCCCAACAACACCAAGGUCGUUCACCCUGUCUGUUUCCUCGGGGCCGCCCAGCGCCUGCUUGGCUGACUGGUGCGGCUGAGCAGCCCAGAAAGAACGUGACCCAGGAGGGUACGCAUGCAGGCACCAGACGGGAGCUUUUGGAGACUGUCAGCACAGAAAACAACUUGCCUAACGAGACAGCAGAGAACUGCAAAGGCCGUGGCCCCAGAGGCCUGAGCCGCUGCUUCCAUCUGCAGCGUGAUUGAUGAUAAGCAUCUAUGUGCACCAGUGAGUUGAAAGAAAACUGUAACUGUUCCGGGAAACAGCAACCGAAGUCACAAAUCAUAAAUAAUAAAAGAUAGAAAAAUCCUCUUUUAA